rnacentral:rRNA from 1 species
AGAUUGAACGCUGGCGGCAUGCCUUACACAUGCAAGUCGAACGGCAGCACGGGGGCAACCCUGGUGGCGAGUGGCGAACGGGUGAGUAACAUAUCGGAACGUGCCCUGGAGUGGGGGAUAACUAGUCGAAAGAUUAGCUAAUACCGCAUACGAUCUACGGAUGAAAGUGGGGGAUCGCAAGACCUCAUGCUCGUGGAGCGGCCGAUAUCUGAUUAGCUAGUUGGUGGGGUAAAGGCCUACAAGGCAUCGAUCAGUAGCU